CCAAUAGCGUAUAUUAAAGUUGUUGCAGUUAAAAAGCUCGUAGUUGAAUUUCGGAGUUUGUCGGUUGGUCGGGCUUCACUGUCCGCACUGGCCUGAUAGAUUCCUACCUUCUGAAUAACCAGCAUGCUAUUAAUUUAGUGCGUUGGGGAAGCAGAGCUAUUACCUUGAAAAAAUUAGAGUGCUUAAAGCAGGCUUAUGCUUGAAUAGAUUAGCAUGGAAUAAUAAAAUAGGACGGCUUGGUUCUAUUUUGUUGGUUUCUAGGAUCACCGUAAUGAUUAAUAGGGAUAGUUGGGGGCAUUAGUAUUCAAUUGUCAGAGGUGAAAUUCUUGGAUUUAUUGAAGACUAACUUCUGCGAAAGCAUUUGCCAAGGAUGUUUUCAUUAAUCAAGAACGAAAGUUAGGGGAUCGAAGACGAUCAGAUACCGUCGUAGUCUUAACCAUAAACUAUGCCGACUAGGGAUCGGACGAUGUUAAUUUUUUAAUGACUCGUUCGGCGCCUUACG
rnacentral:misc_RNA from 1 species